rnacentral:rRNA from 1 species
AUUGAACGCUGGCGGCAUGCCUUACACAUGCAAGUCGAACGGUAACGGGCCUUCGGGUGCCGACGAGUGGCGAACGGGUGAGUAAUGCAUCGGAACGUACCUUUCAGUGGGGGAUAACGUAGCGAAAGUUACGCUAAUACCGCAUAUUCUGUGAGCAGGAAAGCAGGGGAUCGCAAGACCUUGCGCUGAUUGAGCGGCCGAUGUCAGAUUAGCUAGUUGGUGAGGUAAAGGCUCACCAAGGCGACGAUCUGUAGCGGGUCUGAGAGGAUGAUCCGCCACACUGGAACUGAGACACGGUCCAGACUCCUACGGGAGGCAGCAGUGGGGGAAUUUUGGACAAUGGGGGCAACCCUGAUCCAGCCAUGCCGCGUGAGUGAAGAAGGCC